GAUGAACGCUGGCGGCGUGCCUAAUACAUGCAAGUCGAGCGAAUGGAUUAAGAGCUUGCUCUUAUGAAGUUAGCGGCGGACGGGUGAGUAACACGUGGGUAACCUGCCCAUAAGACUGGGAUAACUCCGGGAAACCGGGGCUAAUACCGGAUAACAUUUUGAACCGCAUGGUUCGAAAUUGAAAGGCGGCUUCGGCUGUCACUUAUGGAUGGACCCGCGUCGCAUUAGCUAGUUGGUGAGGUAACGGCUCACCAAGGCAACGACGCGUAGCCGACCGGAGAGGGUGAUCGGCCACACUGGGACUGAGACACGGCCCAGACUCCUACGGGAGGCAGCAGUAGGGAAUCUUCCGCAAUGGACGAAAGUCUGACGGAGCAACGCCGCGUGAGUGAUGAAGGCUUUCGGGUCGUAAAACUCUGUUGUUAGGGAAGAACAAGUGCUAGUUGAAUAAGCUGACACCUUGACGGUACCUAACCAGAAAGCCACGGCUAACUACGUGCCAGCCACCGCCGUAA
rnacentral:rRNA from 1 species